ACUUAAUGUAAACAUUUAAGAGUACUUUAAGGUAUUAAGUUUUGGUUGCUUGAAUAGAUUUCGUUCCGUUGUGGCGGCACAUGGACCGACUGUACACACAAGGCAUGAAAAUCGGUCAAAGGUGAACCUGCUUGAUAACAAUGUACAGAAACAGGAUUGCAACAUUUCACUUAUGGACUUUUGGAAAACAUUCUGGAAUGAAUCCAAAGGGCCUUAAAAUAAGAAAACAGCGAAGCACAGGUGAUUUGGAAAAACGAGGAAAUGGAUCUGGAAGUAUUCGAUCCACAGCAUCUAUUGCUUCUUGGCUUAGCACAGAAUCCUCGCAGUCAGGAUUGACUAACAAAUCAGUGCAUACAGAUUCCAAUGCUAGUUUUAUCGUUGAAGACGAACAACUGGAUGGCAGUGUAAUUGAAACAUAUAUGGGUGAAUGGAAGAAUGACAAGCGUUGUGGUUAUGGUAUAUCUGAGCGAAGCGACGGUUUGAAAUACGAAGGCGAAUGGUUUUCUAAUAAGAAGUACGGUUAUGGUGUUACAACUUUUAAAGAUGGAGCGAAAGAAGAGGGAAAAUAUAAAAAUAAUGUACUUAUCACUAGUCAAAAAAAGAAACAUCUGUUUCUCAUUCGUUCUGCUAAGUUUAGAGAGAGGAUAGAUGCUGCAGUUGACUCGGCCCAACGUGCCUCAAAAUAUGCAUUGCAGAAGGCUGAUAUAGCUAUUUCCAGGACGGCGACAGCUCGCGGCAAAGCUGAACUUGCAGACGUUGCCGCUGAUCAUGCUCGAGAAGAUUCCGACCUAGCCAUACAAAUGGCUAAAGAUUUUGCGCCAGACUUCAAGCCGCAAUUAUUAGAACGAUUCGAACGAUUGAAGCGUGAUCGGUGUCGGAUACCUCUGGAUUAUUUGACCAAAUCUAACACAGCUGUACCGAAUAAAACAACUAUUGGGGCUAUAAAACAAAAUGUAUAUAAUCCGGCAUCUAUGGGAUCUCCUUCGCAAACAGAUACUCCGUUGAGUAAUCUCGAUGUAUAUGAUAAAACGUAUCUAAAUUCUCAACAACAAAUAUCGAAUUGCAAUGUGAUACAAGUUCCUAGUAAUAGGGCGCAUCCUUUUGAACGGAAUACUCAACCGGGUUUUGGAACGAUAUCGAAUCUGGUUAACAACGUACAAAACACUUUUACGAACGUGGCAUCCAAUACGCACCAAACAACGGAAUCCGAUUAUAUAUUCUGUAAUACUAUGCAAAUAAAUCAACAGCGACAGAUAGAGCCAAACUUUACGGAUAGACAAAGCUAUCAGCAGUUAGAAGUAGAUCGUUAUCAUCAUGAUAAUUUUACUCAUCGAAAUUCCAUUCAAAUUUCCGGUGCAGCAAAGCCUGCUCCUAUGCUAAGUAAAAUUAGUCAGACUUCAAUAGAUUAUUUUGAUCAUUAUAAGCGACCUCCUAGCAGAGAUGGCUCAGUCGAUCGCUACUCAAGGGCCACCAGUAGGUUAGGUGGAACACAAUCCAGACAAUCCUCAGUAGAUAGAACUGGCCAAUGUGUCAGUAGUCAAGGUAUUACAAAUGAAUCUGUGCCUGAUCAAUUUGUACGGGCUGGUUCCCAGAUUCGAGGGGUCACUCCAAUGCGCAAUAAUGCACCCAGUAGCGGUUCGAUAUCCACAGGAAACGGAUUUGGUCCGCGAACUCCGUCCAGAGCAGCUAGCCCCUUACACCACCCAACAAGUGAUACAUUUUCUAAUCAAAAGCCCUUUGAGGAAGUUUUGCUACGACAACGAACACUUGGCCAAGAUAUUAUUCCAUCGCCAUCACAACCAAAACGUACCGAGAGUUUAUAUCUUUCAAAACCAAGUGAAAUUAAAAGUGGAUUCACCGGAUUGACUGGUGUAAAUUCUUCCGCCACAGCCUUGAGUAGGGGUGGGCGUAACGGAAGUGGCGAUGGCAGUGGAUUUACUUCGAGGGUACUAAAGAUCAUCUGCGUACAUCACCUUACACGAUGUCAAUUCGCUGCAAAUGUCAUUCACAAAGAGCACGAAGAGAAGAGGUCCAAGGUGACUCCCUUGAGGUACACCCGAUGUAAUGUCGAAUGGGUCUGAAAGUACAGUUCCGAGUUGCACAGAUGCACUGCGGUUUGUAAGGUAUGAGAAGAUCCAAUUGGUCAGCCAGUCGUAGUUCAACAGCUAGCUGAUGAGGAAGGCGUUCGAAGGCUUUGGAGAAAUCUACAUACACUGCAUCAAUUUGUUGUUGUUUCUCUAAUUUAUCAAUCAGCGUUGACACAUAGCUCAUUAAGUUCGUCGUUGUUGAGCGCUUUCUAACAAACCCAUGCUGAUCUCUAGUGAUGAUGUGUUUUACUGCAGGGUAGAGAAUAUCUAACAGCUUACUUUCGAAAACUUUUGGGAGGCAGCUCAGGAUUGAAAUUCCCCUGUAAUUUAUGACGUUAUGGACGUUACCGGCUUUAUGAAUUGGUGUUAUUAAAGCCUCCUUCCACUUGGCGGGAAAAAUACUUUCACCGAGAGAGCGAUUGAAAAGCAUGGAUAUCGGUACAGCUAACGAUGUAUAUGUAAUGCUCACCAUAUUGGGAAUACUACUGAUAUAUUUCACCAUUAUAAUUGAACUGUUAUACUACCAUACCCAUUUAAGUUACCAUUUCCAAUACCUUCCGUGUAUCCUAUAUUGGAGAUUUGUAUACUACAUUGUCCUUUGGCGCCAGAGGUUAAUAUUGCUCUGGUGGGCUUUGUUAUUCGUAUAUCUGUUUACCCUGCUCCAAAAAUCUGUAGUUUAAGAUUGUCAAAAAUCCUCGUCUAACAAUAUUACGGAGAUAGCUCAAUUGGAUAAAGUGUCAGUCCACUUAGUGUCAACGAAGCAUUCUUCAGAAUAUGGCGAGAGCAAAAUAAUAUUUCAUCAAUCGAUAGAAUUGGAAUGUGAAUGGGAAGAGAUUUUUUUCUCCAGCUAACAUUUUAUACAUCGCUAGACCUAAAAUAUUAAUGCCACCAUAAUCUGUAUGGUUCUUGAAUGGUAUGUUGUCAAAAUGUAUAUGGAAAAAAGCAUAUUUUGGUAUGGUGACUGUUCUUAACAACCCGUUGUUUGUAUGGUCGAGUAUGGAAAAACGACACUGGUUAUGUUCGAUAUUAUACCAGGCAAUGGUUAAUCUAUUGUUGAACGAACCAUAUUGAAAACGGUUUUGAGACGUUUAUUGCAAUGGUUGGCGUAUGGUACAGAUUUAUGCGAGACGGCCGCUUCUUCUUGUGUCCUUUAACAAUGUUCGGAAACAUUUAGAUCGGCGUAUAUGGUACGACGAUACAAACAAACUGAUAUUGAGCAGCAGCAUGCUAAGUUUUUAUAUCUGACUACAGCACAAUGUAAGCUCAUCCUUUUUUGUGUUGUCCUCAAUAUGUGUUCUUCGUAGCUCCUCCCCUUCGUUGGUCGAUACACAAGCAAAUUGUGUUGAACGCGUCGGAGUGCCGUUUACUUAGUAGCUGUAAUGGUAUACCUUGCUGUUAAAGUGUUGAAAUUGGAAGGAAAUACUGCCCGUGACAACAAAAAGACGAAUUAUCCCACGUCUUCAGCAGCUGGCGAUUCGUAACAUCGAAAAGUUGAACAAACAAGUGACUAUUGCUCAAAAACAAAACAUCCAAUCAGGAGUGCUGCCCAAGAAGACCGAAAAGAAAGCAUAAAUCGAACGCUGAAACUCGCAAAUGAAAUGCACAUUGCUGUAAAAACUGUCCUUUUCAGGACAAUCACACAUUUUUGAUUAUGAACAAAAUUGAAAUUGCGAAUCUGAACAGGCCCGGCGUUACACUUUUAGCCCGUGUGGGUAGUAUGAUAAGUAUACGGUGAGAGGUCUAUUACUAGGCAUUUGCUCGAAACACUCAUAAAAGGAUGAAGGAUACAGAAUAACAAUUAACAACUGAUACAACUACUUUCAUAUUUCAAAAAGUUCAAUUUAUUGACCUUAGAUUAUGGAUAAACACUUAUUAUUUCCGUAGAGCAAAACAAGAAGUACGUUUUCUAGUGCGAACAAUAAAUUCGUCCAUCAAAUGUUCUAUAUCAAGUGCAUCAGUUGAAUCUUGAUACGAAUGCAAUAUAGCAACAUGGUUGAGUCGAUUUUGUGUCAUAGUUGACCUUAAAUAAUUUUUGAUUCGUCGCAAAACUGAGAAACUCCGUUCAUUAGAACAAGAAGAUCCGGGUACCGUUAUAAUUAAUCUCAAAAAUCGUACGAAUUCGGGAAGAAUUUUCAUGUAAUGCUCAUUUUCUGUAAGAAACUUAACUACAGCGUGCAAAUCUGUUGCUUCUUUCUCUCCACGCUUCAGGAUCCCUAGAAAAAAUCCCUAUCGUUUGUUAGGCGCGAUUUCUCAAAAUCUCCUCUGUAGUAUGUCACAAUUUCUUCAGCAUCUUGUGAUUUACCAAUUGCAAAAUUUUCUAGUUGUUUAAAAAAUUUAGCAUUGUCAGUAUCAAACCGCUCUUUUAAUGAAAAAUUUACUUGAUCAAAAAUCUCGCAAAAUAUUUUUUUGUAAUAAUGUUUGGGAGAUUCAAAAACAUGGUUUUCCGUAGAACUAUAUUCGAGCCGCUUUGGAAUUUUGCGUUUUCUUGAUAAUUUUGGGUCUUCGAUUUCAAAUUUUCUAGCCAAUACACAACUGUUCUUCCAAAUCGAUUCGUAUUUUGAAUCUCGAGAGUCGUUCAAUACGACCGACACAAUUUCCACUUUUCGAUAUGACUCUACAACACAAAGAUCCGACUUUUGUAAAUCCUUAUUAAGGAUCUCGAUCCAAUCGAAAAUUUCGAUCAUGGUGCUUAAUAAAAAUAAAAACUUAAAUGACUCCAUACUUCGAAGAAAUCCCAUUGCUUUAGCAAGAACGGCGCUAUCUACUUCUUUAAAAACUUCUUUAUCCUCAACAAUGCUUUGAAAAAAAAAUCUGCAGCGUUUCGUAAUUUGCAAUCACCGUUUUUAGGGAUUUUAUGCGUAUAACCCAUCUGCAAAAAGUACCAUAUAUCAACGAGAGUCUAGAAAACAAUAGUAUACAGUUGAAAGUUUUACCUUGUUGGGCAGUACGCUGCAAGAGCAGGAGUAUCUUUUGCAUCUCGGCUUGAAGUUCCUGGAACUUCGCUAAGCGUUUUGGUGAAUCCCUUACAAAAUUUAUUAGUUCCUUUACCACCCCCAUAAAAGUUUUCGCUUCUAACACAUCUUCGAUUCCAUCUUGUACUGCAAUAUUCAGGUUAUGGGUCGCUUAAAUGCAGUACUGCAUAGGCUUUAGCAGUUACUGCAUUUAAGUGUUCGAUGAAAUGUAGCUUACGGUCAAGUAUAACACCAAGUUCCUUGAUUCAUGAAACUCGUUUUACUGGGGCAGCGCUCACUGCUUACUCAAACGUAAUUGGCGAGAGUAUUCGUGUGAAUGUGAUUAUGUUGCAUUUCUGAAUGUUUAUAGUCAUUCCGUUUCUAUCACACCAACUCAUGAUACUAUCUAUGUCCAUCUGAAGUGCACAACAAUCUACCAGAGUUGUAAUGAUGCGAUAAAUUUUCAGAUCAUCUGCGUACAUCACCUUACACGAUGUCAAUUCGCUGCAAAUGUCAUUCACAAAGAGCACGAAGAGAAGAGGUCCAAGGUGACUCCCUUGAGGUACACCCGAUGUAAUGUCGAAUGGGUCUGAAAGUACAGUUCCGAGUUGCACAGAUGCACUGCGGUUUGUAAGUCGAUUCCAGUAACCACCACACUCCAACGAAAAAAAUCUUUACCAGAUGUGCAGCAACUUCCGCUUGCUACUAGUACCAUGAGCAGAGAAGAAGUGUCAAUACUUGGCUCAGCGCGGAGAGAAGAGGUGCG